rnacentral:lncRNA from 1 species
GUGGGGACGAUUUCGGUUUGAUAAAAAAUGGAUAGGAUAUGAUGGUUUGUUGGAAUCCAUUGGGAUAGAUUGGGUCAUUCAACAGAGGGGAACAAGGUUGAUCUUGAAUCAAAAAUUAUUAAUUAUCUCCAUUAAAUUGCUCUUUGGCGAAAGAAUAAUGAGUUGAUUACUCUUUAGGACACAUUUUGAGUUUCUCUUACACUCAUAGACACUUUCCACUUGUGACACACUUUUUUGUGGGGUUCAUUGGAUUUUUGGACAACUAUACCCUUAAGGAAAGGAAAAUAUUAGUUUUUUGAUUAUUUUUGUUAUUGUACUUCAUGAUUUAAUCUGCUUUUUUCUCAAAAUCUAAAAUAUAUUAAAUAAAAAUAAUUGUCAUAAUAAAUUAUAUAUAAAAUUUUCUAUCUUUUAAGAUCCAUUUUCAUAUAUGUAUGUUAACUUGUAAACAAAAUUAAUUGUGGACGUAGAUUCCAAAGCGUGGAUAGUAGAGUUAUACACUAGUUGUGGACAUGGACACCUUAACACAGAGGUCAUUUGCUUAUACCUUUAAGAGCUUGUU